GAACGAGCGCGAGGAGAGCCCUUUGGCUGUUGGCUGCCUCUAGUGGAGUACAUGCAGGGGAUUACGGUCUGCGGGGCUUUUAAAUUGAUAAUUGAGGAGUUGAUUAAGGCCGAGGAGGAGCUGCAGGUGCUGCCGUGGCUCAUGGCAGCAGCGUUGGAGCUGCCUGGACCCAGCCUGGCUUGGAGUCAUUUUCCUACCAGAGAGCAAGGACAAGGGGAUGCAGCAUAGCUGGGAAUCCCAAAAUGUGCUUGAGCACCUGGAUUUUCUGCCCGUUCUUGAACCGGUGCCUUCUGCCCCCUGGGCAGGGUAUGGCCCAAGGUCACCCGUGCUGCUGCGUGCUCGGAGCAAAACCCAGCAGGUCUCAGGCAAUAGAGCAAUGCCAGAGGCGGUUCUUGUCCUGCCGGGGUGUUCAGCUGGGGAAAAUGAUGCUGGGACGCAGCUGAAACAAAACCCAAGCAACCACCCAAGGCAAGGAAAGGGCCAGGGGCCGGGCAGCUUUCCGCUAGCGCUGCAGAACGAUGGGUCACUGGAAAAUCUUAGUGGGAAGCGAGAGGGAAGGAACCAGCUUCUGCUUUCUGAUAGUGGUUCCUGCCACGGCCUCCGAAGCCGAGGGUGUGUUAGGAGGGAGUUAGUCAUCGGGGACACAUCACGCUGCCGGUGCCAUGCCCUGCUCCAGCCCCGGCGCUGCCGCUUCCCUUUGGGGCAGAGCUCCGCCGCUAGCAGCUGGCUCCCUCGCCCACUGCUGCUUGUGAGGAGUGACAAAAGCAUCCGACUUCUGCAAAAACUGGACUGUGACCUCGUCAGCUGCCAGGGGAAGUAAUCUCAGCCCUGUCUCUUUUUUGGUUUGUUCCAGGAUUUCACACUCCCCAUCACCGCUCUGGUCGGCCAGGGGAGGAAAAAGCCGCUCCUCUCGCCCUGGGGCUGGCUGCGGGGCAGGGAUGGGGUGCAGGAGGGCAGCACAAAGGAGAGAAGGGAAGGAAGGAAAUUAGUCAGGGAAGGAGCAGGACAAAGGAUAAGAGGGCUCAAGCUGUCCCAGCUGCUGCUCAGCACUGUGCAGGAUUGUUGUCAUCCCUCCGGCCCCGCUGCAGACCUCUCUGCCUGGUUCCAGUCCCUUUGGGAUUGCACGGCGGAGAACUGAGCCACGCCAGUCCCAGUCAUUUACCUCCUCCCCGUCCUCUCGCAUUGUUGCCCACAGCUAAUGACUGAAAGGAGAGUCUAUUCUUCCAACCUGAUGCCUGGGUGAUGAUAUCUGCAGCCAAUUUCCAGCUCGGCGGAGCAGAACAAUUCUACCGAGCUGGUAAAGAGCAGAGAAAAGUCCGCUCCCAAAGGUUACGCUCCCGUGCAGGCACUUGGCUCUCGCUUUUCUCUGCAAACCCAGGGCUUAAUGUAUUUACAAAUAAGUGCACAAAGCCCCGCUGCUGCCAGACCACAGAGCGCACAGCCCUGGCAGCUGCAGCACUGAGUCAGGCCAGCGCGCACCCAGCCCUGCCCCGAGCAGCGGAGCGCUGCCUCUGCUGCUGCGCGUCCCCCGUGCCCAGCCUUGGGUGCGUGCACCCUUAGCCAGCGAGGAAGAGCUGCCUGCAGUUGUCCUCCCCACUGCAACAACCCCUGGGCACUGCGCAGGAGCACGUUCGGGGUUAGGGAUGAGU